GACGAACGCUGGCGGCGCGCUUAACACAUGCAAGUCGAGCGAAGCGGCGGACGGGUGAGUAAAACGUGAGUAACCUGCCUUAGACAUUGGGAUAGCCUCGGGAAACCGGGAUUAAUAACAAAUGGUGUAAGAGGGACUCGCGUCCCAUUAGCUAGUAGGUGAGGUAACGGCCAACCAAGGCGACGAUGGGUAGCCGGCCUGAUAGGGUUAACGUCCACAUUCGAACUGAGAAACGGUCCAAACUCUACGGUAGGCAGCAGUGGGGAAUAUUGCACAAUGGAGGUAACUCUAAUGCGUCGACGCCUCGUGAACGUAGAAGGCUUUCGAGUCGUAAAGUCCUUUUAUAUGGGAAGCGGUACCAUAAGAAAAAGCCCCGGCUAACUACGUGCCAGCAGCCGCGGGAAUUC
rnacentral:rRNA from 1 species